AUUGAACGCUGGCGGCAGGCCUAACACAUGCAAGUCGAACGGUAACAGGAAGAAGCUUGCUUCUUUGCUGACGAGUGGCGGACGGGUGAGUAAUGUCUGGGAAACUGCCUGAUGGAGGGGGAUAACUACUGGAAACGGUAGCUAAUACCGCAUAACGUCGCAAGACCAAAGAGGGGGACCUUCGGGCCUCUUGCCAUCGGAUGUGCCCAGAUGGGAUUAGCUAGUAGGUGGGGUAACGGCUCACCUAGGCGACGAUCCCUAGCUGGUCUGAGAGGAUGACCAGCCAAACGGGAACAGAGAGACGGCGCCACACCCUAAGGGGGGCCCCAGGGGGAAAUUAUGAACAAGGGGGCAAUGCCUGAGGAAGCCAGGCCGGGUGGUUGAAGAAGGCCUGGGGUUGGUAAAGUACUUUCAGGGGGGGGGAAGGGAGUAAGUUUAAAUCCUUUUCUGUUGGCCGUACCCAGAAAAAGAAGCCCCGGCAACCCCCUG
rnacentral:rRNA from 1 species